rnacentral:lncRNA from 1 species
UCGAAUCGGCCUCCAAUCAAUCCGAAUCUAGCCACAGUUAAUUUAAUUUAGUCAAUACUAAUUCUAGGAAUUAAUUCCAUAUGAAAAUACUAAUUUUCCAACAAAAUCCGAAAUUAACCCAAAAUUUUGCCCGUGGGGCCCACGUCUCGGAUUCGACUAAACUCAUAAAAUCCGACAACCCAUUCCGAUACGAGCUCAACCAUACAAAAAUUAUCGAAUUCCGAUGUCAAUUAGACCUUCAAAUCCUAAAUUUUCAUUUUUGGAAAGUUUUACAAAAACUUCAAUUUCUUUCAUCCAAAUCCAAAAUAAACGACGAAUAUUGAUAUAGAUUCGUGAAAUGUAAUCACUUCCGGAUAUAGAACACUUACCCAAGUGGAAAUCGUGAAAAACCCCUUUGGAAUCGCCCAAAUCCGAGCUUGAAUGACCAAAAAUGGAAGAAUUUCGGACCCCUUUUGGUUUUUACACUGCCUAGGGGUAUUUUAGGAUUUUACGUGCUCCACCGCGCUCCUGCCGCGUUCUGCCGUGCUCAAAGGCAGAAAACUCUUGAAUUGCCGCGGUUUCGGCGCGGUCGCGCGCCUGGGGGCGCUUAUGACACAUGUCCCGUAAAAUGGUCAUAACUUUCUGUAUAUACCUCCAAAUGACGAACGAUUAAUUCUAUGGAAACUAGACUCAAAGGGAUUUAAUUUGAUAGGUUUUGCAUCACACAACUCGUUAUAUCCAUGUAGAUAUGCUCGUCCAAAAUGAGGUCUUGUACGUACUCAUUUGCAACUUUAGUAUAUUAUGAAAUUUUCCAACUUGGCUUAGGCUUAGGACUUUAAUUAGACCUCAUAUAUCUUAUAGUACGCCUCGUACACUUGCUAUCAUAUCCAUUUGGCAUCCAUCAUGGUAAUAGACCUCUUCCACAUACUAAGUAAUAUAAUUAGAACACAUCAACUAUCUUAUUUCGCCAAAAUGCGGAAUUAUCCUAUGGACUUCCAAAUCCAAAUUUGGACACACGUCUAAGUCCGAAAUCACCAUACAAAGCUAUUGACAUCAUUAAAAUUCCAAUUUGGGGUCAUUUGCUCAAAAGUAAACUCUUUCACACCUCCUUUUUCAAUACACUCUGGGAGGGUAUAAAUAAAGGAGUUUUUCAAUCAAAGGACAAUCGAAACGGGAUUUAUUGUUAAAAGAUUCAGAGUCGCCACUUGGGAGAUUUAUGGUGUUCCAAGUCACCGGUUGAAUCCCAAAUCGUGGAAAAGCUUGACUCUUUCUAACAGUCCGCGAACCAGAAAUCAGAGUAAGAAAUUCUGUUAACCGGGAGAAGGUGUUAGGCACUCCCGAGUUCCGUGGUUCUAGCACGGUCGCUCACUAUUAUAUUUGGCUUAUUAUCUGACUUUAGAACACCUUUAAAACCUAUGUGCAUUUUAACUUUUCACCGCUUUUCAUUAAAUCAUUUUUAGGAAGAUUUCAACGUUAUCAAAAACAUAUCUUGAGCUACGUCACAUAAAUGCACCCGCAGUCCACGACACAUUUUAUUUAACGUUGUCGAGAUUUGAAUUUGGGUCACAUAAAUGCGCACCCGAGUUUGGGAAUUAGAUAUCACGACUAUGCCACGGGAACCGUACCCAUAGCCGUGAUGAUUCACUACGCGCCAAAAGCAAGCUAUGAGUGUUUAUAAAUAUCAUUUAUGGACUAAACAAAGAGGGAAGCUACCCAAAUCCAAUUUCAGUUUCUCUUAAAAAAAUCAACCUGUGGCUAAGCAUGCUCUUAUUAAUUGAUGAAUUAGCAAAGAAACAAAGUAAACAAAAAAUAACAGAAUUACCAAAGCUCCAAACCUGAUUAUCGUCAUUCUCCUUUACGAAACAUUUUAAUGAAUUUAAACCAAACCAAUCAGCAAAACUAUUCAUAAUACAUCAAUUCUCAAUUUUUAAUUUUUAACCUACUUAAGAUCAAAAUAAGAACAAAUCUUAUGAAACAAAAACAGCCAAAAUGGAAAGAAUCAGGUUCAUGAUUUUUCAAAAGAAAGAAAUCCAAAGAUGUCAUGCCUUUUAAACAAGAACAAAUCAAUAUACCACACCUAUAGUAAUCAAUACUCACAUUUAAUUCAAGCUCAGUCAUGAUCCAAUACAAAACCAUAUAUGAAAUAAAGAUCUAGAGAUUAAGAGAAAAGGAAAUGGACCUAUAAGCAAAAAUCGAACAGAUUUGAGAGCCGCUAACCGGAAACGUGAACCGCACCGACAAACCUCGACGGACCUCAAAUCUCCGACUCAACAACUAAACGGGAAGCUUGCACUAGGGACUUCGACGAACUCGACACCUCGAUAUAUGGCGUUGUACCGAUCUCGCAAACGAACCCCAAGAUGGACUCAACCUCGACAAAGAACCAGCAGAAUAGUCAUCGAGACUCGACCAGAAACUCGCCGGAAAAGUGUUAAACGAGUUUUGAACUCCUCACUGUUUUCAGCCCUUUUUUCGUUCACUAGUGCUUCAGCAUGUGCGUGUGUGUGAUGGUGUGAGCUGCUGGUGUGAGCUCGUUCUAGGUUGAAGCAAGUGAAAAUGAAGGGUGUUGUUUGGUUCGCCGGCAGCGUCGCCACUCACCGGUGAUCAGCUCCGGCGAGGCAGCAACUGUUGAUGGUGUUGGCAGAUCUGCGAUGGCGGGGAGCUGGGGUCGUUGGUUGUGAGGUGAAAGGAGAGAGCAUGUCGUUUGUACUGCUGUUGACGAGAACUAAAGUUCAGAAAAAUGGAGAGGGGCUAUUGGAGAAGAAGACGUGAAAAGGAGUCCCAGCUUUCGUCGCAGCUUCUUCUGCUUUUCAGUUUUUUUUUCGUUCUUUUUCAUGCGCAACUUUUUUUUGUUUUAGCUUUUUC